GGCCUGUCUGGGUCUGGUUUCACAGAGCAACCCCUGCUGGGUCCAGCGAAGGCAGCUCAGUAAAAACCUCAGCAGGAAUAAUCAGACACAGCCUGAAGAAUAUCACAAUUUAUCCUCACUAGACCCCUCGACUGCUCAACCACAGGCACCUAUUGCAAAGACCGAGAACGAAACUAAAAUGCAAAGAUGCAAACCCCCCCCCCCCAACCCUCAUUUAAAUGGUCAUGGUUGAAAACCCUUGCAGCUGCUAUUUUAGUUCAAAACAAGGAUUCUCUCAACGUUGUUUUGAAAAGGCAGAUUUCAGCAAGGACAGAAAACCCCCUGCCAAAAUUCACAGUUGUAAUCCUUUGGCUUUCCAGCAUUGAAAGAGUUUUUGUGACAGAAAUAAAUAAAUAACACAUGUCCAAGUGGGUUCGAGAUAAGAUUUUGGUAGGUGGCACUUUUUGCCCAGAAGAACUGCACUCAAUAUUUAUCAUUUCAUGCCUGUCUGACCUGAAGAAUAUCUUGUCAAAGCAGAAAGAAAAUGAAUAUUAAGUUGGCAUUUAAGUCACACUGGGAUUAAUGCCCCUAAGAGCAUCCCAAGCAAGCAUAAGGGCUGGGAAGAGCCAUAAAAAAAAAUUGAAAUAACAAGUCAGAGCAAGCAGAGUUGUGAAAGCUUGAAGCAAAAACCGAGUUUUUAUUUGCAGCAGGGGAAGGCAUCAUCUCUGCAGCUCCCUGGGAGAGGGGACAUCCCACUCUGAGCCUGCACAGUUGCUCCUUGCACUUGUGAACUUGAGGAUCCAAUUACAGGAUGAAACCCAGCUUUGAACUUCUUGUGGCAUUCUCCAGCUGGGGCCUCGACAAAACCACACCAAGGUUUUCUGAAACCGAGUGCUUUGGCCGUGGAGAUAAAUUUAAUCCUCACUUUCCAGCUGAGCACCACGAGUGGAGGGUGGGUGGGUUUUUUUCCUCGGGCUGAGUCACCUGGAAUUUGAUUUAGAGAAAUGGGAUGAAGCCAGAUGUGCCAUGGGGAUGGCAGGUGCCACCCAAACCUUGUCCUUCCUCUGCACCUCCUCUCCUUUGUCACUCACCACUGGUUUAGGUAAAUUUAAGCAGCAAAUCUUUUAGGGGAAGGAUCAAACUCCAUUUUUAAAUUUGUUCCAAAGAGGUGCCUGGCGUGUUUUAAGUGCAAUCACACACUGCUUACAAGCUUUGCUCCAGUUUUCUACUCGGAAUGAAGAAUUCGUUUUAAAGUCUGAAAAAUCACUCUUUUAGCCUUCCUUCAUUUCUAAUAGCCAAGGAGAAACCAUAUUUACAUAUAACCAUUGCUACUUUUUGCGAAAUUCUUCAAAGACAGAGACAUCCUUAGAGUCCAGAGACCCCUCUCAAUUUUGAUGCUGUUGAAGAUGCUCGGCAGCAAUAAAUUCCCAUUCUCUCUGCAAGUCCUGCCUCUGGACUUUCCCUUUAGGCUUCCUGCGCUGGAUUUCAGCAGCGCAGCUCCUCUUGCACUGGCACAAGCCCUACCUCGGUGUAAUUACCCCACUGUGAAUUCCUCCACAAGCCCUUUCCCUGGCUCGGGGCUCCCGCAAUCUGUGGGAAGCAUCUCCCUGGAGGGGCACAGCUUGGAGGGAGGAUAUUGUUUCCAUUCACAGCCCUGGAACAUGCUAAUUAUGCCGGGAGGAAAGAGGGGGGGUGGCAGCUUUCACUUGGGAGGGACAGGCCGGGCAAAUAGUUUGUGAAACGCCAACUUAACCCCAUCUUGUAGGGAAUUGUCCGCAGCUCUUUUCCCCCUUCCUAGUUACUGUAAUGAGGGGCUGACUUCCCAGAUUAGCUCUGGCUAUUGAAAUGCUAAUUUAAUUAACAAAACAUCCUUGGGGGGGCAGGCACUACUUGUCCCUCCCAUUCAUUUAUCGGGUUUUUGAAUGCGACACUGUUUUCUUCAGGUUGAGGAGCCACAGUCAUUGCUGUGCCCACCUGGGCUGGAAAAGAGAUGUGGAGGAGAAAAAACCAGCUCCUUCAUCUCUUUUAUUUUUAAUUUAAUUUUUUAAACAACUAAAUUAGAUCGCUUUUGUUUAGAAAUAAGUGGUUUCGUGUGUCCUGCCCGGGGCGUGCGUUAUCACCAGCCCGCCAGGGAAGAAGUUUUUGCUUUUAUCUUGAUGAAGGUACCGAAUGUUUCAGCUCUCAGAUCACCUAGAAAGAAUUUUAUCUCCGGGCAAGGCAGAAAACGCGACAGUCCUUUGGAUGUCCGCUCACCCAAACCACAACGAGCAACAAAUCAACCUGAAGAUAUGAAUAAAGGAAGUAGAAAUUUGGAGGCACGAGCAAAACCAGAAGACGUGUUAUGCAUUUAUUUCUAUUUUAAUAAAGAAAGAAAGUUCCAAGGAAAACCAAUUUUGAGAACAGAUCUGCAAUGAUCCUCGUUGCUGUCCCUCCAACCAUCCCAGCAAUCAGUGGAGCUGCUUUUUUUGGUUAUCAGGGAGGUGUGUGGCUCUGGGAACAGGUUGUUCCAGCUGCUCGGAGAUGCUCAGAGCUCUGCCUGGUGUAUUUUACAGGAACUUGGUGUUUCAGGAACUCAUCCUGGCCCUCCCUUGUGGCUUCCCACUGCCACAGGGCAGGGCUUGAUGGGAUUUUGGGAAGGAAUUCUUCCCUGUGAGGGUGGUGAGGCCCUGGCACAGGGUGCCCAGAGAAGCUGUGGCUGCCCCUGGAUCCCUGGAAUUGUCCAAGGCCAGGCUGGACAGGGCUUGGAUCAGUCUGGGAUAGUGGAAGGUGUCAGAGUUGGACUGAGAUGAGCUUUAAUGUCCCUUCCCACCCAAACAAUCCCAAUUCUCUUCCAGGCACUGAUGUUCUCAGGCAGAAGGGGGAGCCCACACCUUAUUUUUUGCGUGUGAUCCUCUCCAAGCAGCGACAAACCCGUGAGAGCAGGAGGGAUUUUGGAACGCUGAGAGCUCCUGCUUGGCUGGAGUUACAGCCACACACAACCAGGGGAAGGCAGGGCCUGACUGCUCUUAUCUCGUCCUUUGCCACAAUGAGAAAUCGAGGAAGAUUUGAAUUCUAAACAACUCUAUCUUGUGUCAUCACGUCAGCUCGAAUGCCAGAAAGCAGAAUUUAAUUAAGAACUUGUUGAGCAAACAAAAAUACAGCGGUAAAACAGAGCCUUUAGAAACAGAGUAAGUCAUUGCCGCGUGACAUUUAUUUUUUGCUAAUUUACUUACACACCCACUGGGAAACCAAAUAAGUCAUCUGUAGAGUGCUGCUGUGGUUAUUUGUACAGAAGCAGUGUGUCUGAUGCUUCCCAAGGAUUCACGGGAAUGUUAAACCAUUAAACAAGCUCUGGGCUUUUGUUGGGAACUCCUCUCUGGAUGAGCAGCUGAAUAAAAGCACUGGGGAGGCUUUUUUAUCCCUGCCCAAACCCUCUUCAAAUCUUUUCUCAGCACAGAAGCUUCCAGGCAUGGCUUUAGUCACAGAUCCUUCUCCAGCCCAUAACCAGCAUUUUGAUCCAUGCCUGUGCAUCCAGGGAAACCCCAGAGUUCAUUUGAGCUCCGAGAACCCCCACAGCUCAUCCCCCUGGGAUGGGUUUCUUGGUACUUUUCUCCAAUAAAAGCUUUGAUUGCUCUUUCUGAGGAGUUUGAAAGCAAGGAUGUUCUUUUGACUUGUGGUUUUCACACCAUCUCUGCUAUUCUUUACAGAAUUCCAGAGUCAUUUAGGUUGGAAAAGACCUUGGAGACCAUCAAGCUGUGACUGAUCCCCACCUUGUCACCUGCCCAGAGCUCUGAGUGCCACAUCCAGCCCUUCCUGGGACACCUCCAGGGAUGGGGACUCCAAACCUCCCUGGGCAGCUCCAAUGCCUGAACUCCCUUUCCAUGGAGAAAUUGGUCCUUCAAAAGAAAUUCUUCCUGAUAAGAAAUUCUUCCUGGGAGAAGGAAUUAAUGACACUGCCACUGUGCUGGCUCUGUGUCAGAAAUUUGGUUCCCAAAAAGAAAUUAGAGACUGGGAAAAUAAUGUGCAGGUUUGGAGGGCUAAAGGAAUCUGAGGCUGUAGAGGGACUUGGAGCUGGAAACCUCAGCUAAAAGCUGGUAGGAGGUCCCUUAAAACUAGAAGUGAAAAUUUGGAGAACACAGAAUAUAAUCAGCCCAAAAAUAACAAUUGAAUUCUUAUGCUGAGGUGUAUAUUAACUUCUACUUGAAGCUGCAGUGGAAGCUUGGCCAAGAAAAACAUCCCAUUAAACAGGGGACGGUUUCAGCCUACAUGGGGGAGAAAUCCUUCCCAGUGUUUGUGGUUUUGUGGCUGAUGUAAAGAUAAACUCAGAAAGGUAAACUGGAAAUCGUCUCAGGAAAUGGUGUUUCUGUUCAAAGGGUGAAAAUCUGUCUGUUGCACUGACGGAGAUGAUGUUCAGCAAGCAGGGAUUCAGAGAGAUGGAAAAUACAAAAAUACAAAUGAAGAGCAGCCCCACAUGGAAUCAUAGAAAUAGCAAAGGAAAGACAAAAAUUUUGAAAAGAAAAAAUGCCCCAAAUACAAAAUUAGGAUAGAAAACUUUAACAGAGAGGAGCUCCACUAAACAGUCCUGAAAAAAGUAUUUCUGUGGUGGUUUGAUGGAAAGGAAAACAAAUGUUCCCAUAAGAAUCAAUGUUUAACAAUUGAAAUGCACAGGGACAUUAUCCUGCAGCUUAAAAUCAUUCCCACCCAAACCCCAUCCCUGAACAGAGGCACAAGGCUGUAGAGGUGGUGUGAUAAUUA